AAGACUAUACUUUCAGGGAUAAUUUCUAUAGUUUGUCUUAUCCUGGACUCACUGGAGGUCACUUACACAGCUGUAGGCUGGAUGGCCUAAG
rnacentral:snoRNA from 1 species